rnacentral:misc_RNA from 1 species
AGCAAGCUCAACCAUCAAAAGUAUGUUUUCUUCUUAAAUUUCUUUGCAAUGCAGAUACACAGGAUUUUUUUUUAUUUUUCCUUAAAAGUAUAUAUAAAUAAUGUUUUUUGCAAUAGCUGAUGCAAGAAUUUUUUUUGCAGGGAAGCAAAAGAAAAUUAAAGAAAUUUUUUAUCAUAAGCAUUGCAAAGAGUUAAUGAAGUUAUGAGAGAGAGUUGUGGAACAUCGAUUA